rnacentral:rRNA from 1 species
AUUGAACGCUGGCGGCAGGCUUAACACAUGCAAGUCGAGCGAGUGGCGGACGGGUGAGUAAUGUCUCGGAACCUGCCUGAUGGAGGGGGAUAACUACUGGAAACCGUAGCUAAUACCGCAUACCAUCAGAUCUGCCCAGAUCGGAUUAGCUAGUAGGUGGGGUAAUGGCUCACCUAGGCGACGAUCCCUAGCUGGUCUGAGAGGAUGACCAGCCACACUGGAACUGAGACACGGCCCAGACUCCGACGGGAGGCAGCAGGGGGGAAUAUUGGACAAUGGGGGAAAGCCUGAUGCAGCCAUGCCGCGUGUGUGAAGAAGGCCUUCGGGUUGUAAAGCACUUUUGGCAAGAAGGCGUUACCCGCAGAAGAAGCACCGGCUAACUCCGUGCCAGCCGCCGCGGUAAUUC